rnacentral:lncRNA from 1 species
UCCGGCCUCACCAUGGUUUACAACAUAAAGAGGUGUCUCAUUUUGUGGAACAGUAGCAAAAGGCUGGAUGACAGCUGCCAGUGGAAUGCGAGCCUGUUUGGCCAUAUCUGAAGUUGAUGGGAAGCAGUAGGUAGUACAUCGGAUGUAACGAGGGCUGGCAUGACCUUGAUCUUGGAUUAAGCAGUCUGUGGUGACAAGAGGAGGAACCUGUCCUCUUGUGUUUGUAGCAUAUAUCUGCCCUCCCCUAGAAGAUUUAUCAUUUUCAAUCACUUGAAUUGGGCUUGGAAUCGAGUCAGGAUCGAGCCUCUUCUGUGGUGGACC